rnacentral:rRNA from 1 species
GACGAACGCUGGCGGCGUGCUUAACACAUGCAAGUCGAACGGAAAGGCCCUGCUUUUGUGGGGUGCUCGAGUGGCGACCGGGUGAGUAACACGUGAGUACCUUGCCCUUGACUUUGGGUUACCUUCAGGAACCUGGGGCUAAUACCGGAUAGGAGCUCCUGCUGCAUGGUGGGGGUUGGAAAGUUUCGGCGGUUGGGGAUGGACUCGCGGCUUAUCAGCUUGUUGGUGGGGUAGUGGCUUACCAAGGCUUUGAGGGGUAGCCGGCCUGAGAGGGUGGCCGGCCACUUGGGGACUGAAGACAGGCCCAGGCUCCUGGGGGGGGGAGGGGGGGGGAAUAUGACAAAAGGGGCGGAAGCGUGGUGGAGCACCCCGGGGGGGGGGGGGGGGGCCUUGGGGUUGGAAACGGUUUUGCCCUGUGAAGAGGGGUGGGGAGGGGAAAUGGGAAAGAAAGCCCGGGCUAAUUACAG